GUGUCCGAAAGGAUACCGCUAGAAUAGUGGCAAACGGGUGCGUAACACGUGGGAAUCUACCUUAAGAAGGGAAUAACCCCGCGAAAGCGGGACUAAUGCCCUAUAAGCUCACGCUACUUUGGUAGUGCGAGAAAAGAUGUCUCCGAUUUAUCGGAGGUAUCACUUAAGAAUGAGCCCGCGGCCUAUCAGCUAGUUGGUGGGGUAAUGGCCUACCAAGGCAAAGACGGGUAGCUGAUCUAAGAGGAUGACCAGCCACACUGGAACUGAUAUACGGUCCAGACUCCUACGGGGGGCAGCAGUGAGGAAUCUUCCGCAAUGGGCGCAAGCCUGACGGAGCGACACCGCGUGGGUGAUGAAAGCUUUCGGGUUGUAAAACCCUUUCGUACUGGAAGAAGACCUGGCCGUAAAUAACGGCCUGGUUUGACUGUACAGUAGGAAGAAGACACGGCUAACUCUGUGCCAGCAGCCGCGGUAAAACAGAGGUGUCAAGCGUUGUUCGGAAUUACUGGGUGUAAAGCGCGUUCAGGUGGUUUUUUAAGUCAGAUGUGAAAUUCUUUCGCUUAACGAAAGAACUGCAUCUGAUACUAUUGAACUAGAGAAUAGAAGAGGAGAAUGGAAUUCCUGGUGUAGCGGUGAAAUGCGUAGAUAUCAGGAGGAACACCUGUGGCGAAGGCGAUUCUCUGGUCUAUUUCUGACACUUAUACGCGAAAGCUAGGGGAGCAAACGGGAUUAGUGCCCCGGUAGUCCUAGCCGUAAACGAUGGAUACUAGGUAUGGGGGAGGUUUCCUCUCUGUGCCGCAGCUAACGCAUAAGUAUCCCGCCUGGGGAGUAUGACCGCAAGGUUGAAACUCAAAGGAAUUGACGGGGGCCCGCACAAGCGGUGGAUCAUGUGGUUUAAUUCGAUGCAACGCGAAGAACCUUACCUGGGCUUGAACCGCAGAUGAAAACCCCUGAAAGGGGGCUCUCCGCAAGGACAUCUGUAGAGGUGCUGCAUGGCUGUCGUCAGCUCGUGCCGUGAGGUGUUGGGUUAAGUCCCGCAACGAGCGCAACCCUUGCCCUUAGUUGCCAUCAGUUCGGCUGGGCACUAUUAAGGGGACUGCCCCGGAUAAC
rnacentral:rRNA from 1 species